rnacentral:lncRNA from 1 species
UUAAAUAACAAUAUAAAUGAACUUUUGAUGAAUUUGAUCGAAUGAAUGAGGAAAUUAACUUGGAAAUUCCAAAAAGACAUGAAAAGUAAUUUCUAACAUUGGUUAAAUGAUGUUGAUUAUAAGAAAAUAUGCGAUCAAUCAGUUGACAGUCCAAUGAUUGAUUAGACUACGGGCAGCCUCAAAAUCAAUUCUUGAAACCAGUUGACGACCGAAACUCUUCGCGUAGAGACGAGAGCAAUUGAUCUGUAAUGAAAGUGUUUUUUCAUUGAUUUCUUUAUUAUAUUGACGGGAGCUCACAUAUGUAGAUUGAAUAUAAUCCAGCAUGUUUUCGGGAAUAUUAGCACGCAUGUUCCACAUGUGAAAAAAAUUACAAAACUCUUGCAGCUCAUCCGAAUCAGUUGGAAAUUCAAUAGUGUCCGGAGAAUCGCCUCUACAUCUACAACCGACAUCAGCUGGCAAAAUAGAUCUUCCAUGGCUUAAUAUAAUUAUUCGAACAUUACUGUGAACGGUAAAAGAACUGAAAGGAUAAAAAAAUGUUAAAUCCUGUUGAGAUAUUAGGGAAGACAAAAACUGAACGUUACGGCAUCCGACAUCGUUUAAGGUUCCACUCGAUAGUUCAGUUUCAUCAAGAACUAUAAGGGUGCCAGGAGCCACUUGCAAAUGGCUAGUAUCUAAUGUCUCUCCAUCACUCAAGGGAUAAAGCGGCUUCCUGUUAAGCUCGGCGACAUUAACUUUUUGAAUCACCAUUCUUUUUAUCAAAGGCCGUAACACAGAAACUAACUGGGACACUAAUUCAGAGGUGCAAUUUGUUAAAUUUAAAGUAAAACCACCUAUAACCAAACCAGUGGUUUUAUGAACAACGUUGGAAAGAAGAGCAAGCAUAAGACUUUCCGCAGCUAUAUUUUCACCAAGGACUUUUUCAAAAUAUUUUAAUAUUUUUGGUCGAAUGAUCUCAGCUUGCUGAGGAGAAGGGGCUUGAGUAGCUGAUUGCGUAUAAUCCUUAAAACAUAACAUGUGUAAAAUGGGUAAACCAUCCGAGUAUUCACUUGGUUCUUCAUAAAUUCCAAUAACAUCGAUUGCUUGACAAACUUGAACUUUAGUUUCCAUUCCGCCAUAGCAUUUAACACAAACGCCGGUAUCAUUACUUGCUUGUAAGCGGUUUGAGUACUUCAAUGACCGUUCUUUCAGACUCUCGCUUCCCCAGUUUCCCAAAGCUUCUAUAACAGGAAGAGUUCUUUCUCCAGGAACAUUUGUCAGAAACAGUGAAUAUCUUUCAUCUAGGACAAUUUUAGAUUCAUCUAAAUGCAUUUCAUCUUCGCUGAAAUCAAGUAUGUAUCUACAGCCUCUCCAAAUGUUUUCAUUUACCUCUACAGCUCCAGCAAAAAAUUCAUGCCCAAAAUUGGUGUCUUGCACCAUACCUUGAAGACGAAGUAGUUGACCAGUCUUUAACUCAGACCAUUUGCAGUCAAGAUAGUUUGGAAUCUAAAUAUUCAGUGUCAAAUAAGAGAAAAAACCACUUAACAAACCUUUCUUAUUCUUUCCUCUGUAGCGAAAAUAUUAGAAACUUCUUCAUCGAUGCCUAAAGUGCCUUGUAAAUCGGGCUUAGAUCCUGCAAACAAUGCAUCCUGAAAUCUUUGAAGAAACGAUCUUGGAUUUUCGAUAAAAGAAUCAGAUAAAGCAAUUACCAUAUUAUAAAUAUAUAAUUUUAU